AACGCUGGCGGCGUGCUUAAUACAUGCAAGUCAACUUGACUUUAGAUAGCAAUAUCGAAAAGUAGGGUGGCGCACGGGUGCGUAACGCGUAGGUAAUCUGCCCUGAGGUCUGACAUAACCCGUCGAAAGGCGGGCUAACAUCAGAUGAUAUAUAGUCACGACAUCGUGGAAAUAUCAAAUCUUCGGAGCCUUGGGAUGAGCCUGCGUCUGAUUAGGUAGUUGGCGGAGUAAUAGCCCACCAAGCCUACGAUCAGUAGCUGGUCUGAGAGGAUGAUCAGCCACACUGGAACUGAGACACGGUCCAGACUCCUACGGGAGGCAGCAGUAAGGAAUAUUGCUCAAUGGGGGGAAACCCUGAAGCAGCAACGCCGCGUGAAGGAUGAAAUACUUUUGUAUGUAAACUUCUGUAAGAUGGGAAAAAUAUUCUCCUCGGGAGAAUUGAUUGUACCAUCAGAGUAAGCCCCGGCUAACUACGUG
rnacentral:rRNA from 1 species